rnacentral:rRNA from 1 species
GAGGCGAACCGGGGGAACUGAAACAUCUAAGUACCCCGAGGAAAAGAAAUCAACCGAGAUUCCGAAAGUAGCGGCGAGCGAAAUUGGACUAGCCCUUAAGCUUUACACGCGUUAGACGAACGGUCUGGAAAGUCCGACGAUACAGGGUGAUAGUCCCGUAGUUGACGACGUGUGUUCAGUGAAAUCGAGUAGGGCGGGACACGUGAUAUCCUGUCUGAAUAUGGGGGGACCAUCCUCCAAGGCUAAAUACUACUGACUGACCGAUAGUGAACCAGUACCGUGAGGGAAAGGCGAAAAGAACCCCUGUGAGGGGAGUGAAAUAGAACCUGAAACCGUGUACGUACAAGCAGUAGGAGCAGGCUUUGUCCUGUGACUGCGUACCUUUUGUAUAAUGGGUCAGCGACUUAUAUUCAGUGGCAAGGUUAACCAUCUAGGGGAGCCGUAGGGAAACCGAGUCUUAACUGGGCGUUCAGUCUCUGGAUAUAGACCCGAAACCAGGUGAUCUAGCCAUGGGCAGGUUGAAGGUUGAGUAACAUCAACUGGAGGACCGAACCGACUAAUGUUGAAAAAUUAGCGGAUGACUUGUGGCUAGGGGUGAAAGGCCAAUCAAACCUGGAGAUAGCUGGUUCUCCCCGAAAGCUAUUUAGGUAGCGCCUCGGACGAAUACUACUGGGGGUAGAGCACUGUUAAGGCUAGGGGGUCAUCCCGACUUACCAACCCUUUGCAAACUCCGAAUACCAGUAAGUACUAUCCGGGAGACACACGGCGGGUGCUAACGUCCGUCGUGGAGAGGGAAACAACCCAGACCGCCAGCUAAGGUCCCAAAUUACUACUAAGUGGGAAACGAUGUGGGAAGGCUCAGACAGCCAGGAUGUUGGCUUAGAAGCAGCCAUCAUUUAAAGAAAGCGUAAUAGCUCACUGGUCGAGUCGGCCUGCGCGGAAGAUGUAACGGGGCUAAGUAGUAAACCGAAGCUGCGGCAAUGCACUUUUGUGCAUUGGGUAGGGGAGCGUUCUGUAAGCCGUUGAAGGUGUGUUGUAAAGCAUGCUGGAGGUAUCAGAAGUGCGAAUGCUGACAUGAGUAACGAUAAAGGGGGUGAAAA